rnacentral:rRNA from 1 species
GGGCGCCCCUGAUUGUGGGGUGAAAAUUAUUGCCUUACGCAAACUGGGCUUGGGAGUGGGGGAUAACCGUCCGGCUUCGGGCGCUAAUACCGCAUACGUCCUGAGGGAGAAAGUGGGGGAUCUUCGGACCUCACGCUAUCAGAUGAGCCUAGGUCGGAUUAGCUAGUUGGUGGGGUAAAGGCCUACCAAGGCGACGAUCCGUAACUGGUCUGAGAGGAUGAUCAGUCACACUGGAACUGAGACACGGUCCAGACUCCUACGGGAGGCAGCAGUGGGGAAUAUUGGACAAUGGGCGAAAGCCUGAUCCAGCCAUGCCGCGUGUGUGAAGAAGGUCUUCGGAUUGUAAAGCACUUUAAGUUGGGAGGAAGGGCAGUAAGUUAAUACCUUGCUGUUUUGACGUUACCAACAGAAUAAGCACCGGCUAACUUCGUGCCAGCAGCCGCGGUAAUACGAAGGGUGCAAGCGUUAAUCGGAAUUACUGGGCGUAAAGCGCGCGUAGGUGGUUUCAGCAAGUUGGAUGUGAAAAUCCCCGGGCUCAACCUGGGAACUGCAUCCAAAACUACUGAGCUAGAGUACGGUAGAGGGUGGUGGAAUUUUCCUGUGUAGCGGCGAAAUGCCUUAAAUAUAUUAAGGGAACACCA